rnacentral:rRNA from 1 species
AAAACGACUCUCGGCAACGGAUAUCUCGGCUCUCGCAUCGAUGAAGAACGUAGCGAACUGCGAUACUUGGUGUGAAUUGCAGAAUCCCGUGAACCAUCGGGUCUUUGAACGCAAGUUGCGCCCGAAGCCAUUAGGCCGAGGGCACGUCUGCCUGGGCGUCACGC